GUAUUGCUACAGCACCUUCUGCACAUGUCCAAAGCCGGCACUGGUCUCAGCCCAGCGCUUUGGUCAGUGAACCUAUAUACAUGUUUGGGUAACCUUCCAAACAACCAUAGAUCAUGUAUGGAAAGAAAGGAAUGAUAGACGUCUUGGCAACAUAGAACGCCAGCCAGCACUUAUAGUUCAUCUAAUUGAAACUAUCAGAGAUCGCACGGAAACCAUAUAAUGGACCCCGUCUCCGU